AGAGCGAACGCUGGCGGCAGGCCUAACACAUGCAAGUCGAGCGCCCCGCAAGGGGAGCGGCAGACGGGAGAGUAACACGUGGGAACGUACCCUUCAGUUCGGAACAACCCAGGGAAACUUGGGCUAAUACCGGAUACGUCCGUAAGGAGAAAGAUUUAUCGCUGAAGGAUCGGCCCGCGUCUGAUUAGCUAGUUGGUGGGGUAACGGCUCACCAAGGCGACGAUCAGUAGCUGGUCUGAGAGGAUGAUCAGCCUCACUGGGACUGAGACACGGCCCAGACUCCUACGGGAGGCAGCAGUGGGGAAUAUUGGACAAUGGGCGCAAGCCUGAUCCAGCCAUGCCGCGUGGGUGAUGAAGGCCCUAGGGUUGUAAACUCCUGUCAUUUGGAACAAGUCUUACGUUAACUGCGUGGAGAUUUGAUAGUACCGAAAGAGGAAGAGACGGCUAACUCUGUGCCAGCAGCCGC
rnacentral:rRNA from 1 species